GUCACCGGAGAGAUUAACGCUUGGCCAACGUACCAUUUGCUACGGAAUAACUCAGGGAAACUUGUGCUAAUACCGUAUGAGCCCGAAAGGGGAAAGAUUUAUCGGCAAAUGAUCGGCCCGCGUUGGAUUAGCUAGUUGGUGGGGUAAAGGCCUACCAAGGCGACGAUCCAUAGCUGGUCUGAGAGGAUGAUCAGCCACACUGGGACUGAGACACGGCCCAGACUCCUACGGGAGGCAGCAGUGGGGAAUAUUGGACAAUGGGCGCAAGCCUGAUCCAGCCAUGCCGCGUGAGUGAUGAAGGCCCUAGGGUUGUAAAGCUCUUUCACCGGUGAAGAUAAUGACGGUAACCGGAGAAGAAGCCCCGGCUAACUUCGUGCCAGCAGCCGCGGUAAUACAAAGGCACUACCGUUGUUCGGAUUUACUGGGCGUAAAGCGCAC
rnacentral:rRNA from 2 species